UACGGAGGGUGCAAGCGUUGCGUCGAAUUAUUGGGCGUAAAGAGCUCGUAGGCGGCUUGUUGCGUCAGCUGUGAAAUCCCGGGGCUUAACCCCGGGCGUGCAGUGGAUACGGGCAGGCUGGAGGCAGGCAGGGGAGAAUGGAAUUCCCGGUGUAGCGGUGAAAUGCGCAGAUAUCGGGAGGAACACCGGUGGCGAAGGCGAUCACCUGGGGUUGUUCGUGACGCUGAAGAGCGAAAGCUAGGGGAGCAAACGGG
rnacentral:rRNA from 1 species